rnacentral:rRNA from 1 species
AGUGAACGCUGGCGGCAGGCCUAACACAUGCAAGUCGAACGGCAGCACUGCAGUAGCAAUACUGUGGGUGGCGAGUGGCGGACGGGUGAGGAAUACAUGGGAAUCUGCCCUGUCGUGGGGGAUAACGUAGGGAAACUUACGCUAAUACCGCAUACGACCGGAAGGUGAAAGCGGCGGACCGCAAGGCGUCGCGCGACUGG